rnacentral:rRNA from 1 species
CUACGGGGGGCUGCAGUGGGGAAUAUUGCACAAUGGGGGAAACCCUGAUGCAGCAACGCCGCGUGGAGGAUGACGCAUUUCGGUGUGUAAACUCCUUUUAUAUAGGAAGAUAAUGACGGUACUAUAUGAAUAAGCACCGGCUAACUCCGUGCCAGCAGCCGCGGUGAAUACGGAGGGUGCAAGCGUUACUCGGAAUCACUGGGCGUAAAGCGCGCGCAGGCGGCCCCUUAAGUUGGAUGUGAAAGCCUACGGCUUAACCGUAGAACUGCAUCCAAAACCGAGGGGCUAGAGUCUGGGAGGGGAAGAUGGAAUUAGUUGUGUAGGGGUAAAAUCCGUAGAGAUAACUAGGAAUACCAAAAGCGGAGGCGAUCUUCUGGAACAGUACUUACGCUGAGGCGCGAAAGCGUGGGGAGCAAACAGGAUUAGAUACCCUCGUAGUC